rnacentral:rRNA from 1 species
GCAAGUCUGGUGCCAGCAGCCGCGGUAAUUCCAGCUCCAAUAGCGUAUAUUAAAGUUGUUGAGGUUAAAAAGCUCGUAGUUGAACCUUGGGCCUAGCCGGCCGGUCCGCCUCACCGCGUGCACUGGCUCGGCUGGGUCUUUCCUUCUGGAGAACCGCAUGCCCUUCACUGGGUGUGCUGGGGAACCAGGACUUUUACUCUGAACAAAUUAGAUCGCUUAAAGAAGGCCUAUGCUCGAAUACAUUAGCAUGGAAUAAUAGAAUAGGACUUUGGUUCUAUUUUGUUGGUUUCUAGGACCGCCGUAAUGAUUAAUAGGGAUAGUCGGGGGCAUCCGUAUUCAAUUGUCAGAGGUGAAAUUCUUGGAUUUAUUGAAGACGAACUACUGCGAAAGCAUUUGCCAA